GGGGAGGUAACAUCCGGAAACGGGUGCUAAUACCGCAUAGUUUUCUUGAUCGCAUGAUCGGGAAAGGAAAGACGGCCUUUGUGCUGUCGCUUAUGGAUGGACCCGCGGCGUAUUAGUUAGUUGGUGAGGUAACGGCUCACCAAGACGAUGAUACGUAGCCGACCUGAGAGGGUGAUCGGCCACAUUGGACUGAGACACGGCCCAAACUCCUACGGGAGGCAGCAGUAGGGAAUCUUCCGCAAUGGACGAAAGUCUGACGGAGCAACGCCGCGUGAGUGAAGAAAGGUUUUCGGAUCGUAAAACUCUGUUGUCAGAGAAGAACAAGUUGGAGGGUAACUGCUCCAGCCUUGACGGUAUCUGACCAGAAAGCCACGGCUAACUACGUGCCAGCAGCAGC
rnacentral:rRNA from 1 species